GACCCUGAAGCUUUUUGUUUAGAAGCUGUUCACGGAUGCAUUUGAUUUUUCAGACGGAAUCUGUCAGAUCAAUCCGGAGCCGGAUCGACAUAAAGUGGAUACCCACCCUAUAUGAUCAAGAUGUGAUAGCCAUGGAAACUAGAGGUUAUUCAUCUUAUAAGCAGUGACAUGUCUGGUUCAUAACUCUGAGAGAUAAGCUUCGACAGUGGCUAGAGGGAGCAAUCCAAGUUGUAGAGUUGCUGAACCCUGUUGAAUGCUGUUUGUACUUACCUUGUUGCGUUGACGACCCCUUAGUAUGUAAGUUUUGAGGCAUCUGUCUCUUAUGCACGCGUUUGUUUUCAUUUUCUCUUUUAGAUAAUGCAUGUCUGAGAUAUACCAGUGUCAAUCGUGGAUGUUGCGUGUUGAAGAUAUUUACUAUUUUGUACUCAAGUCACAGCGUGGAAAGUGGCAUGCAGGUUGUGAUUGAUCUGUUGGUAUGUUGGUUGGUCGGUCCGUCGAUCAGUCAGUUGCAAAUACAUUGAGAGUCCUCAGUUUUCGUCAAUUUUUCACAACCUUGGAUGCAGAUUUCUAUAUGUUCACUUGUGUUUGAAAGGGUGCAUAGUACGCUGUCGUGGAGACCAGUCAUGUCCAUCAACUCACAUAAACCUGGCGGGGUUAUUAUAAUAAUGAUAUAGAGUCCCGGUAUAGAGUAUUUCUAAAGCGCCAAAUCCACAUUGAUUAUGUGCUCAAGGCGCUGCGUGGAAAGUGGCAUGCAGGUUGUGAUUUUGCCUUAUUAAAAUAAGGCAAAAUGCGCAAGAAGUAGCGUUUUACUGAAUUAGAUUUCGACGCUCUGUCGCUUCGCUGUCUUGCUUAUACCAUAAUGGCGAUAUGUUAGUCAAAUCGAGAAGAAAGGGCGCAACUUUAAUUCCAUAUUGGCUUCAUAAUGCCUAAAUACACCACGAGCUUUCCCCAUCAUGGCCAUUGAUUUGGUUUUUAUGGCGACUUUUUUUCUUCCUUUCAGAUGGUAUCACUUGGCUGAUGAAGAGAUAAGAGGUGAAAUGGUCUUUUCGUCGUCUUUAUUACCGCCUGUCUAGAGGCAUUCCUUUCUAUCGUGAAUCUACUUGAAACUAAAUGUACCCUCCAGGCUCCAGCUAUAGAGUUCAUGUGCCCCAGUAUGUACUAUUACCAUAGCAACCUUUCUGUAAUAAAAGCAUUCGUAGAAGUAUCGACUUGAACGUGAGUGUGCAUGUAUAUUGAUUCGACUGGCUUUCGAUGAAAAAAAAAUAAAAGAAAAGAUGACUGUUUGUGCAGAAUGCAGGAAGGGAAAAAUGAAAAGCUUGGGCAGUUUACUUUUAUCGAUUUUUCCAAUUUACGCGUCAUUUCGUUCUAAAUUUGAAGGGAGAAAUCUGUCAUAAUGAAGGCUGUUGCAAAAGAAAAAGAUAAGGUCACUUUCUGCGCUCCAGCGGGAUGUUCAUUAGCUUCUAGGCACAAACAACAAAGAGAAACAAAGUAGUAUAUAAAUCAAUAUUUUGUGCUUAUUCUUAGAGAAGAAUUUAUUCUAAGGUCAGCGAAGUGCAUGAAAAUGAAAUCUACAGUAUUUCCCAUUAGAACACCGACACGGCGGCACCAUCAAAAAGAAGUAACGGAUAAACUACAUUUCUGUUUGUGUUACUACUUUGAAUCUUGCUUGAAGUUCAGAGCUCAUGCUGUCCAAAUAUCUAUUUUGCUUUAUUGAUUAUGCAAAAUUAAAUGAGUGCUGACGUUCCAAAUUAAAUACUAGUAGUCAAAACUGAUGUGUACCUCCAAUGACCGACCCACUUAUGUAAAUCAUCUAUGAAACAGGUAGGUUUUGAGUAGGGUCUUGAACUGACUAACGGACUUGGCAUUAUUAAUUUAAGAGGGUAGCUUGUUUUAAAGAGAACUUUUCAUCUCACAGCUCUCAAGUCAUUUUGGCGUUAAUCAAACGCCGUCAUCUAAAAUGUCGCCAUUAUAGUAAAGAUACAAAGUCUUUAUACGUCGGUCUGUAUACCGUGCUUUUAGGUAGGACAACAAAGGAUAACGAGCCCAUGGCAACAUGUUCAAUUACUCAUAUCUCCGCUUCGGCAAUUAACUUAUCUUUCCACAUCAUUCAAUUUUUAAUUCCCAUCUAGGUCAUUAUAUCUGGUUGCGUAUGCCCCGUCGUAUGCGAUGGAAACUCUGACAACUAAUUUUCGUCAGAUAAGGCAGAUUGCUGUUAGACAGCCUAUAGAUAUCACGUCCAAAAUUAAAACGCUUAGUGCCGUCUGUCGACGUCUAUCGUAUUUUAACCAAAUGAGAACAAUAUAAAAGAGGUAAAUGAAAUUUAUGCACGCACCUCGUUUCUCAGAAAAGUGGCAUUAUGUGACGUGGCCUUUCCGUAGGAGCGUUAUGCAGAGCAAAGUAUUUUCAUGGAUUUUUGUAUUUUUAUUAUGCAACGGCUGGUGCGCUUCUACCAUCAUCAUGGUCAUUAAAAAAUACCUUACGUGCAUUUAAAUAUUGAUGUUAAUGUUUGAUUGGCAUCGCCUGCUGAGCGAAACUAUGCAUCACUAUUUCAGUCGACAAGUCGACAACAAUAUUCAACAUCACUAAGGACCUUUUCACACGUGAAUCUUGAAUAAUCAUUGUAAUGAUGAUUGCUAUUUAAAUCGUGACUGUGAUUAGCGUUCGUGAUUCUAAUCAUGUUCUAGUUUGUCUUCACACGUGCUUAAUAUUCGUAAUUAGCCUUAUUUUUCACCAGAGUCUUCAUUCAAAUUACAAUUUUUUGUUACCGUAUGGAAGGGCGAUAAGUCACAACGACGCGAUCACAUCACAUGUACAUCUCUUUAAGCGGCAUGUUUGAAAAUGAUUUCUAUUUUGUCAGUUCGGAAGUCAAAGUUGAAAUGCCUAAAGAAAAAAAAACAUAAACACUAUAAUUGCAAAAUACUCCCUGCUGCAUCUCGUCUUGAAACUCAAUAAACUGGUAAUGAUAAAAUCAACGAAACCGUAAACAGCCUGAUAACACAUAACUUCUAAAAAAUGGUUAUGCAUUUAAGGUGGAUCAACCAAGUUUCGAAAAUAACAAAUGAUGGCAUCGACGGAAGAAUCAGAUAAACUUAUCAGCUAAAAGUGAAAUAUCAUUUCUACUGUACUGCCAGUACGCGAUUUGACGCGACCACUACGCGGCCACCACGCUGUCCAUCCACACUCAGUUGGCGCUAUAUACGUACAAAUAGGUACAGCAAGUCGCCCUAUCUGCUGGACCGUUUCGAUCUGCGCGCAGAAUAAAAGUAGUGGAAACGUGAACUUCACAAGGACGUGGCGUAGCACGCAAUUGACAAUUCCACGCCGCGUCAUAAUUAUGUUUUCUUCUCAAUUUCAAUAACGUAGCAGGAACUUCAUUUGGUGUAAAGGACGAAGCUAUAGCGACAACUGAAUAUCCGUAGCAACCGUGCAGUAGACAUAGACAGUUUUUGCUACGUUCUUUUCGUUCUACCACGCUUAUGCAACGUUGUUGGAGCUGUCAGUAGGUCCUAAGAACGUCCUUACUGCGUCAGUACUACGUUAUUACUAUGCACUGUUCAGACGACACCCCUGCUACGUAGACUAUGGACGUUUUCAAAAUCCAAGUAGCGGAAAAGGGUCUCCGGAGAUCAUGCAGACUGUGUCACGUCAAUAUAGCAUUUCUCACUAUGCUCUCAGUACGCUGUAGCAGUUCCCAAAUGAGUCGUUGUCAUUUUUCGUUGACGUAACGAGAACUGGAUGGACGAAGCGUUGGUGUAAAGGGGGUAUUAAAGAUGUAGACAAUGCUUGACAUGUGCCUCGUCCAUGUUAUGAUUGAAUAGGUGUUGAUAUCAAUCUGUAAUUUGGGCGGCGUCUUCACCAAUUAAUUAGAAGCAGAAAGGUAAAGACGGAGAAAAGUAAAUAAUAAUGAUAAAAAAAUGGUAGAUGGAAACCGGGCACUAUAUUUACUACCCUUUUUGCACGAGACACUAUUAAAGAAAAGUGCGAAUAAAACAUGAACUAUACUUUACUAUAUGUGUUGAUUUCUCCUCUUAUUUUUAUCUAUUUAUCUAUUCAUUUUAUUUCAAUGGGGGGGGGGUCGUGUCUAUCUUCUGAAUGAAGCAUCAAUUAGGGAACAAUUGCAAGUUUCCAAUAUUUCAUAUGGUCAUGAGAUUUUAAAAGUUUAAAAGUUUUGUAUUAUGCGUGUUUGAUAAGAUAAAGGAGGGGUUGGGAGGAAGAGAGCGAGGAUUUUAAAUAGGGGUGGAGGAUAUUUAGAUUCGAGGACGACUAACAGAGCCGCAAAUGUUGUUCCUGGAUAUAGUUACUUUUUAUUGCAUGCGUCACAGAACCUUGCAUACACGCAAUUACCAUUUUGUAGCUCUUUAAUCAAGGGUUGCGAUUAUCCCAGCACUGCCCUUUAGGGGAGAACGACGAGUAAACCGACACCUGCACGUUCAACGUCGUGAAUUUGGCGGGGUUUUGGUGUCACAGUUUAUGUCACGCCUCGCUUGUUUGAGCAGACGACGCGAACACUGUCUCCCCAUGGAGGAUAAGUUACUCCUCUUUUGUUGUUCUACCGCAAGAUUUCUUUAUGCACCAUCUCUCAUGGGAAUAGAUGUCGUUUCCCGCGCAAACUUGCGAACAAAAUGAGUCGUGUAGACCCUUUGUGCUCCGCAGUAUCUCAAGAGGGAAAUGUUGAAAGGUGCGAUUCCUAUAGCACGAUGUGCGACUAUCAUUUAUCUUUCGAAAAUUAAACCAAUUUCCCUUUUAGGUUCUUCGUA